rnacentral:rRNA from 1 species
GAUGAACGCUGGCGGCGUGCCUAACACAUGCAAGUCGAGCGAAGCGCCUUACUUGAUUUCUUCGGGAUGAAAGUAUUGUGACUGAGCGGCGGACGGGUGAGUAACGCGUGGAUAACCUGCCUCAUACAGGGGGAUAACAGUUAGAAAUCACUGCUAAUACCGCAUAAGCUGUGAGUAUCACAUGAUACAAAUAGAAAAGGAGCAAUCCGCUGAUAGAUGAGCUUGCGUCUGAUUAGUUAGUUGGUGAGGUAACGGCCCACCAAGACGAUGAUCAGUAGCCGGACUGAGAGGUUGAACGGCCACAUUGGGACUGAGAUACGGCCCAG